AAAUAAGGGGUAAUUGGGGUGUUGAUUGGAAGCAGAACACAGAUGGCUAUUGACAUCUGUAAUGAGAUUAAGGAAGAUGGCGAUGGGAUGAGGUUUUGGGGUGACGGGGAGAGGUAAUUAGGUAAGGUUAGGUGUCAUCUUGCAAAGUUAAAAUGUCUCUCCCCAUUCUCUCCCAUCCAUCUCUCUCUCCCUGCCACUUCCGCCUUGUUAAUUUAAUUGAUUUGAUUUCCAGUGUCCCUUGUUAUCUCUCUCACUCUCUACUCUGUCUCAUUCCUCUCCCACUCUCUCCUCCAUCUGUCUGUCUGUCUGUCUGUCUCAUUCCUCUCCUGCUCUCUCCUUCCCUGUCUGUCUGUCUGUCUCGUUCCUCUCCUGCCCUCUCCUCCCUCUCUCUGUCUGUCUCGAUACUCUCCUGCUCUCUCCUCUCUCUGCCUGUCUGUCUCAUUCCUCUCCUGCUCUCUCCUCCCUCUGUCGGUCUGUCUCAUACCUCUCCUGCUCUCUCUUCCCUCUGUCGGUCUGUCUUAUUCCUCUCCUGCUCUCUCCUACCCUGUCUGUCUGCCUGUCUGGCUCUCUCCUCCCUCUGCCUGUCUGUCUGUCUGUCUCAAUCCUCUCCUGCUCUCUCCUCCCUCUGUCGGUCUGUCUGUCUAUCUCAUUCCUCUCCUGCUCUCUCCUCCCUCUGUCUGUCUGUCUCAUUCCUCUCCUGCUCUCUCCUCCCUCUGCCUGUCUGUCUGUCUGUCUCAUUCCUCUCCUGCUCUCUCCUACACUGUCUGUCUGCCUGUCUGUCUCAUACCUCUACUGCUCUCUCCUCCCUCUGUCGGUCUGUCUCAUACCUCUCCUGCUCUCUCCUCCCUCUGCCUGUCUGUCUCAUUCCUCUCCUGCUCUCUCCUCCCUCUGCCUGUCUGUCUCAUUUCUCUCCUGCUCUCUCCUCACUUUGUCGGUCUGUCUCAAUCCUCUCCUGCUCUCUCCUCCCUCUGCCUGUCUGUCUCAUUCCUCUCCUGCUCUCUCCUCCCUCUGCCUGUCUGUCUCAUUCCUCUCCUGCUCUCUCCUCCCUCUGUCGGUCUGUCUCAUACCUCUCCUGCUCUCUCCUCCCUCUGUCGGUCUGUCUCAUUCCUCUCCUGCUCUCUCCUCCCUCUGUCGGUCUGUCUCAUUCCUCUCCUGCUCUCUCCUCCCUCUGCCUGUCUGUCUCAUUCCUCUCCUGCUCUCUCCUCCCUCUGCCUGUCUGUCUCAUUCCUCUCCUGCUCUCUCCUCCCUCUGUCGGUCUGUCUCAUUCCUCUCCUGCUCUCUCCUCCCUCUGCCUGUCUGUCUCAUUCCUCUCCUGCUCUCUCCUCCCUCUGUCGGUCUGUCUCAUUCCUCUCCUGCUCUCUCCUCCCUCUGCCUGUCUGUCUCAUUCCUCUCCUGCUCUCUC
rnacentral:lncRNA from 1 species